rnacentral:rRNA from 1 species
AGAGACAGCAGUCGCCGCGGUAAUACGUAGGUGGCAAGCGUUGUCCGGAAUUAUUGGGCGUAAAGGGCUCGCAGGCGGUUUCUUAAGUCUGAUGUGAAAGCCCCCGGCUCAACCGGGGAGGGUCAUUGGAAACUGGGAAACUUGAGUGCAGAAGAGGAGAGUGGAAUUCCACGUGUGGCGGUGAAAUGCGUAGAGAUGUGGAGGAACACCAGUGGCGAAGGCGACUCUCUGGUCUGUAACUGACGCUGAGGAGCGAAAGCGUGGGGAGCGAACAGGAUUAGAUACCCCUGUAGUCCCUGUCUCUUAUAA